GACGUAGGGCGCGAGCGUGUCCGGAUUUAUUGGGCGUAAAGAGCUCGUAGGCGGUUUGUCGCGUCUGCUGUGAAAACUCGGGGCUUAACCCCGGGCCUGCAGUGGGUACGGGCAGACUAGAGUGCGGUAGGGGAGACUGGAAUUCCUGGUGUAGCGGUGAAAUGCGCAGAUAUCAGGAGGAACACCGGUGGCGAAGGCGGGUCUCUGGGCCGUAACUGACGCUGAGGAGCGAAAGCGUGGGGAGCGAACAGG
rnacentral:rRNA from 1 species